rnacentral:lncRNA from 1 species
CACACACACACACACACCUAGGGGUAGCUGUAAUGAACCUCCCUACCUCCCCCUAGGUCUGGCACUAUAGACUGCAAUGUCUGUUAAGAAGUGGGACGGAAAUUGUGUCCCGACCUGGACCUGAGCCCUAGGACCAUGCCUCAGGACUACCUGGCUUGAUGACUCCUUGCUGUCCCCAGUUCACCUGGCCGUGCUGCUGCUCCAGUUCCAACUGUUCUGCCUGCAGCUAUGGAACCCUGACCUGUUCACCGGACGUGCUACCUGUCCCAGACCUGCUGUCCCAGACCUGCUGGAACCCUGACCUAUUCACCGGAUGUGCUACCUGUCCCAGACCUGCUGUUUUCAACUCUCUAGAGACAGCAGGAGCGGUAGAGAUACUGUCAAAGAUCGGCUAUGAAAAAGCCAACUGACACUUACUCUUGUGUUACUGACUUGUUGCACCCUCGACAACUACUAUGAUUAUUAUUAUUUGACCAUGCUGGUCAUUUAUGAAGAUUUGAACAUCUAGGCCAUGUGCUGUUAUAAUCUCCACCCGGCAGAGCCAGAAGAGGACUGGCCACCCCUCAUAGCCUGGUUCCUCUCUAGGUUUCUUCCUAAGUUUUGGCCUUUCUAGGGAGUUUUUCCUAGCCACCGUGCUUCUACACCUGCAUUGCUUGCUGUUUGGGGUUUUAGGCUGGGUUUUUGUACAGCACUUUGAGAUAUCAGCUGAUGUAAGAAGGGCUAUAUAAAUAAAUUUGAUUUGAUUUGACCAUCGGGUUCUUGGUCACCUCCCUGACCAAGCCCCUUCUCCCCUGAUUCUUCAGUUUGGCCACUGUGUUUUGAAGGACCUUCAAUGCUGCAGAAAUAUUUUGGUAACCUUCCCCAGAUCUGUGCCUCAACACAAUCCUGUCUAAGAACUCUACAGACAAUUCCUUCCACCUCAUGGCUUGCUUUUUGCUCUGACAUGUAUUGUCAACUGUGGGACCUUAAAUAGACAUGUGUGUGACUUUCCAAAUCAUGUCCAAUCAAUUUAAUUUACCACAGGUGGACUUUAAUCAAGUUUUGGAAACAUCUCAAGGAUGAUCAAUGGAAACAGGAUGCACUUGAGCUCAAUUUCUAAUCUAUUAACAAAGGGUCUGUAAACUUAUGUAAAUAAGCUAUUUCUGUUUUUUAUUUUUCAUAAAUUUGCUGUUUUCGCUUUGUCGUUAUGGGGUAUUCUGUGUAUAUUGCUGAGGAUUUUUUAAAUUAUUAUCCAGAAUAAGGCUGUAAUGUAACAAAAUGUGGAAAAAUACUUUCCGAAG